AUAUAUAUAUCUCCUCUCUCUCUCUCGCGACUGUGAGCAUGGCAGACGACGGCGUCGAGCCACGGGGACCAGUGAAUGAAGGAAGCCAGACAUCGACGACCAUUGUCGGAGUCCUUCGCUUCUCUAUCGAUAGCCAUUACCAGCAAACGAAGUUCUUCGGAGUCCUUAGCUUCUCUCUUCGGCCGUGACUAGCAAACUAAGCAAAUAGAGCUCUCACCUUUGAUCGGAGCUCUUGCACCUUUCCUUUCCACCACCCAAUUUCAGAUAUUUCCUAUAUAGGAGUGGGCUUCUCGUGGAAUGCAUGCUUGUGGAGAAUGUGGUUAACUUUUGUUUUUGUUAUCUAUGAAGAAUGAUGA